CCUACGGGUGGCAGCAGUGGGGAAUAUUGCACAAUGGGGGAAACCCUGAUGCAGCGACGCCGCGUGAGUGAAGAAGCGCCUCUGCGCGUAAAGCUCUGUCAGCAGGAACGAUAAUGACGGUACCUGAAGAAGAAGCCCCGGCUAACUACGUGCCAGCAGCCGCGGUAAUACGUAGGGGGCAAGCGUUAUCCGGAUUUAUUGGGUUUAACGGGUGCGCAGGCGGAGGUGCAAGUCAGCGGUCAAAUUGCGGGGCUCAACCCCGUACUGCCGUUGAAACUGCAUCCCUUGAGUGCGCGAGAAGUAGGCGGAAUGCGUGGUGUAGCGGUGAAAUGCAUAGAUAUCACGCAGAACUCCGAUUGCGAAGGCAGCAUACCGGCGCGCAACUGACGCUCAUGCACGAAAGCGUGGGUAUCGAACAGGAUUAGAUACCCUUGUAGUC
rnacentral:rRNA from 1 species